rnacentral:rRNA from 1 species
AAGGCCUUCGGGUUGAAACCUCUUUCAGCAGGGAAGAAGCGAAAGUGACGGUACCUGCAGAAGAAGCACCGGCUAACUACGUGCCAGCAGCCGCGGUAAUACGUAGGGUGCAAGCGUUGUCCGGAAUUAUUGGGCGUAAAGAGCUCGUAGGCGGUCUGUCGCGUCUGCUGUGAAAACCCAGGGCUUAACCCUGGGCCUGCAGUGGGUACGGGCAGACUAGAGUGCGGUAGGGGAGAUCGGAAUUCCUGGUGUAGCGGUGAAAUGCGCAGAUAUCAGGAGGAACACCGGUGGCGAAGGCGGAUCUCUGGGCCGUAACUGACGCUGAGGAGCGAAAGCAUGGGUAGCGAACAGGAUUAGAUACCCUGGUAGUCCAUGCCGUAAACGUUGGGCGCUAGGUGUGGGGCUCAUUCCACGAGUUCCGUGCCGCAGCUAACGCAUUAAGCGCCCCGCCUGGGGAGUACGGCCGCAAGGCUAAAACUCAAAGGAAUUGACGGGGGCCCGCACAAGCGGCGGAGCAUGCGGAUUAAUUCGAUGCAACGCGAAGAACCUUACCAAGGCUUGACAUACAGGGUAAUCCGGCAGAAAUGUCGGGUCCGCAAGGGAUCCUGUACAGGUGGUGCAUGGUUGUCGUCAGCUCGUGUCGUGAGAUGUUGGGUUAAGUCCCCGCACGAGCGCAACCCUUGUUCUAUGUUUGCAGCGCGUA